rnacentral:rRNA from 1 species
UACAGAGACUGCAAGCGUUAUUCGGAUUCACUGGGCGUAAAGGGUGCGCAGGUGGUCGUGUGUGUCAGAUGUGAAAUCCCGGAGCUUAACUCCGGAACUGCGUCUGAAACUGCACGACUAGAGCAUUGGAGAGGGUAGUGGAAUUCACGGUGUAGCAGUGAAAUGCGUAGAUAUCGUGAGAAACACCAGAGGCGAAGGCGACUACCUGGACAAUUGCUGACACUCAGGCACGAAAGCAUGGGGAGCAAAAGGG